GGGAUCUGGAAUUGGGCCAACAACAGGAAGUGGUGUUGUGAGUACAUACAUCCCUAUUCCUCCAUGACUGCAUGGCCAUGCACGACUCCAACUCCAUCAUCAAGUUUGCUGACAGUGGUAGGCGUGUUCCCCGGCUACCGUCUGACAUUCGAAGACAUUACAGGUGCAUCAAAGUCAAGACAGAGAGACAAAAACCUGCUUCUAAUACCAGGCCAUCAGACUGUUGAACAGCCAUCACUAGCUGUCUACAAGAUGAAUUAUUCUGCAGCAUUGAAGGUCCCCAAGAACACAGUGGCCUCCAUCGUUCUUAAAUGAAAGACGUUUGGAACCACCAAGACUCUUCCUAGAGCUGGCCCCCCGGCCAAACACCACUUCACAAUAACAGCACUUACAGUUGACCGGAACAGCUCUAGCAGGGCAGAAAUGUGACAAGCUGACUUGUUGGAAAGGUGGCAUCCUAUGAUGGUGCCACAUUAAAAGUUACUGAGCUCUUCAGUAUGGGCCAUUCUACAGCCAAUGUUUGUCUCUGGAAAUUGCAUGGCUGUGUUCUCGAUUUUAUACACCUGUCAGCAAUGGGUGUGGCUGAAAUAGCCAAAUCCACUAAUUUGAAGUGGUGUCCACAUACUUCUGGCCAUGUAGUGUACCACUGCUGUAAAUACCAUUCUUAGUUUAGCUUGUGGAAAUCCCCUCUAUGGGUUUCAUUUUGAUACUGAUACAGUGCUAUUUAGGUUGUUCAUUGGAUUCAGACGUUCUUGAUGUCUUGCCUUUUUUCUUUUAAUUGUUUGACAUCUGACUGCAGUGUUUGGAGCUAGUAACAUAAGCAUUUCACUGCACUGCUAUAACACCUGUUAAACUGUUUACGUGACCAAUAAACUUUAAUUUGAUACGUUUA